rnacentral:lncRNA from 1 species
GUUGUGGAAACGUGGUUUUUCUGCAGCAACAUUCCAGCACCCAUUUUUCCUGCUAUGAAGAGGCGGCUGUGGUGGCAGCUUCUUGUCGGAGUUCUCCUGGUCCCUGACUGGCGACUAUGGAGGUCUAUGUUAAAUCAGCAGUUCCAGCAGAGGGUCAGAGGUAGUCGUUCCACAGCGGGCCAGUUUUCCCAUGUUCUCGGAGUCACCCCUGGAGGCCUUAUCCCAGAGCCAGCUCUCCCCUCCUUCUGCUCUUUCCAGCGAUGUUGUAAGCACUGAUACUUGGUAAGUUCUUUCCUACCCAAAAUAUCUACAGUGCUUUCUAAUUCCUGCGCUAAACUUUGAAUGAUGCUGUAGGGUAAGUGCCUGACAAUUAGCUUUUUUUGUUGUAAUGUAAGUGCCUGACACUAAGCUUUUGGUUGCCAUUUCACAGACAUCCAUCUCAAAUAAACAUAUUGCCAGCUACACAACCAGAUGAGCCAGGCAGCCCCAGCCAUGGAUUUCCCCUUUUAGAAAGCCCUGAGUGACCUAGAUAACUGACCACUUGAGUGACCCUGAUUCCCUUCCUGUGCUUUAAUUCCUGCUCUUAUGUUUUAAAUUCACCCAUAAAGAGAGAACCCAUGAAACCCUUGGCACCCCACUCUCCACCCCAGUAAAGGCAGAACCCAAGGUCUGUGCUCUCUCCUUACCCAUGACCUCGGUGUGUGGCUUUCGGGCAUGCCGUGUACCCUCCAGGGCUUGUGAGUAAUAAGCCUUGUUUUCUCAAAGUUCCCUGUUGGUUGUUGUGAGGUGCAUCUUGUAAUCAUAGUAAGAGCCACAAGGGCUGGUCCAGCUACAACAUUGGCUCCAGUGUGGGGAGUAGAGGUUCACCACAAGUAGUAGGGCCCAGGCGAGUGCUGCCAGGCAGUCCUAGAAAACAGCAUCCGUAUAGGCUGACACAAAACAGAUACUCAUCAGAUAGCUCACCCUUCCUCACUGGUGAGGAAUAAAGGGGGGCAAGAGGGCAAGAGUCUUUAGGGAAGACUUAAAACCAGAAAGAGGGAAGCAGCAUUUCCCCGUGCCACUCUUCAACACCCAACACUGCACUUUUCGUCAAGUCCCUCCUGCCCCUCCCCACCGAGCUACUUUCUUGGUUAUCUUUCAGGUCUCAGCAAAAACAUGGCCCCCUCCUGGAAGCCUUGUCUGCUCCCCCAGACUAGAUGUGGCUCACUGUAGCAGGAUUCUUGGGAACAGUGUCUUCAGUUAUGCCAAGAAGAAUGGCAUUUCUCACAAGGAAGUGUGCCGCUGACUUAGAGCUGUCUGUUGCAAGGUUAUAGAGCUCUUCAAGGGAACAGAGUGUGUCCUGCUCAUCUUUACAUCCCAAGUACUUGACCCAAGGCCUUACACAUAAAGAACACUUGUUUCAUUUGGGACUUGGGUGAUGUCGGACUUCCCUUCGCCAUGCAAUCCGUCCCGGAUAUCGAUGGGGCUGCCUUGGUGAAGAAUGGUUCACCCAUCCUUUCACCCAUCUCUCACAUCACUUUGAGACCUUAGAUGGUCUCUUGCUGGGUGCACAUUCAUUGUAUCAUCUAAAGAGUAUUUCCUAUAAAAGUUUCUGGUGAUUGGAGCUUCUGGAUUGGUGAAUACAUCAAGAUUCUGGGAGGGUGAUGUUCCAGGAGAGGGCAUGGGAGCUCCACGUUCCUCCUCCCAUACCUUGCCCUAUGCAUCUCUUCCACUGUUCCUGAGUUGUAUCCUUUAUAAUAAUAAUAGUCACAGUAAGUAAAGCACUUUCCUGAGUUCUUUGAGUCAUUCUAGUGAAUUAUCGAGUCUUGGAGAGGGGACUGUGGGAACCCCCAAAUUUGUAGCCAAGUCAGAUCCUGUCCACCCUGUUUGCAACUGGUGUCUGAAGUGAGGGCAGUCUUAUGGGACUGAGCCCUUAGCCCUGUGGAGUCUGAUGCUAACUCUGGAUAGUUAGUGUCAGAAUGGAAUUGAAUUGUAGGAUGCCUAGUUGAUGUCAAAGAAUCAGAGAAUUGGCUGUUGUGUGGAAAGCCUCCACACAUUUGGUAUCAGAAGUAUUGUGAGUAAAAACAGCGCUUUUGGUGUUAGAAAAUGUGGGAUUCGCUAAAACAGCCCGUGCCCACUGAAACAUGUGGUUCAGGAAGAAAAAGAAUUAAAGGAUGCAGGAUGAGAAACCUUUGAUUCCUGGGUGGCCACGUGGCCACUCAUAGGGUGGUGCAGCAGCUGUGCUGCAAUAAGUUACUAAAGGUAAAAGUUACUAAGGGAAUGUAGAGUUGGAUCCACUUCCCAGGGAGUUGGUUCAUUGGAUGUAUAAGAAAUACAAGCAAAUAAGAAAAAAGCAAAAUAUACAGUCCGUUGGUUAUUGGUAUCUAUAAUAGCUAAAAUAAAUUAAAAGAGUGCUAGGUCAGAUCUUGAUGCUGAACCAAACUCAGAUUUCGAUCAGUCUGAGCUUCAGUCACUAGCGUCAAAGCCACCUGCAAAAGGAAGGAUUAAGCAAGACAACAGAGAGUACCCCUAAUACCCCUGGUCACCAAGAAGAUGGUCCUCGCUGAGGGAGGGCAAAACCAAAAAACUAUUGAAACCAGGAGGUACAGUGUGAAGGAGCUGUUGAAACCGGAAAACAAUCAUUGACGAUUAAGUAUCUAGGUAUUAAAGUUUUUUCCUUUUUGCAAUUACUGAUUAUAGCUUUUAGCUGUUUCACCCACCCAUUGUUAACUGUGCUGCUUAGGCAAUAUGCUAUCUGACUCCCACUAGGCUCCUACAGAGAACAUCUUCCUGGAGCCUGGGUCACCAUGGUAAUGGGUGUGUGAGCUGUUUUUCAGGAAUUAGAACUCCUUGUCCACUCCAGGCUGGUUGAGACCACCAACUCAUCAACUGGGCCCACAGAGAUGUCCAAUAAGCGACCUUUUGAUGUCAAGACGCUAAAAACUCCACCCUCAGAUCAUGCUAAUAACACCGUCAUUUUGUAAACAUGGGUCCUAUGAAGAGGCAUGAAGUCUGACUACACUUGCGCAGAUCAUCAAUUACCUCAUCUCUCCUCACCUCCAAUCACCUCUCUCCACAUUUCAGACCACCUUGCCCCCCCCAUCCCAUAAAUAUCCCUGAGCCCCUAUUUUCAGGGAAGUGAAUUUGAGGCUCAUGCUCUCGCUU